rnacentral:rRNA from 1 species
UACGUAGGGUGCGAGCGUUGUCCGGAAUUAUUGGGCGUAAAGGGCUCGUAGGCGGUUUGUCGCGUCGGGAGUGAAAUCCACUGGCUUAACUGGUGGCUUGCUUUCGAUACGGGCAGACUGGAGGUAUGCAGGGGAGAACGGAAUUCCUGGUGUAGCGGUGAAAUGCGCAGAUAUCAGGAGAAACACCGGUGGCGAAGGCGGUUCUCUGGGCAUGUCCUGACGCUGAGGAGCGAAAGUGUGGGGAGCGAACAGG